CAAGCAGUAAUCUACAUAAGACCACUACAGAAAAGUAUCCCUUUGGAAAAUAGUUCCUGCACCCUCCAGCAACAAGGGCCACUCACAAAAUGUCUGAGCUGUGACACAGACAUUCCCUUAAAUAAAAUGAAAAACCACAUCAGCAAAUGCACAAGAGUGGAAAUGUGAAGCUGAUGGAACCAGAGCUGCAUGGCUCUACAAGUCUAAAUUACUUGCACAGCAUGAGACCAGAAAGGCUGUUGUCCUGCGAAUGGAUUUGAGGGAAAGUAUAAUGGAUCAAGAGAGAUCACUUAUCUCCUUUUACAAAGAGCCAAAGGUCGAGUGGGCAAGCCCUGUCUGCUGCAAACUGGAAGGAGAUGCAGCUGUCGGGGAAGGGGUGAAGAGAUUCUUCUUCUCAAAGAUGAUUUCUCUAGUACAGUUUGGUUUUCAUUUGAACUUUGGUAUGUGAUUUACAAUGACGAGAGAAAGU